rnacentral:lncRNA from 1 species
GGUCUGCAGCUGCGCAGAGAAUGAAAUGGAGGGUCUAACACAGACAAGGCCAACCACUUCACCAGAUGAAAGCCUUUUCAGAGGCAGAAUAUGACAGAAUUGAAUUACUACAGAGGAAGAUAUGAAGAGCUACAGCUAGCAAGUAUGGGCCAUUCUGUCAGUCCUGGUACCUGCUAUGGCCAGAAGAUGACAUUGGAUCGCUAAGAACUGGAGUCAUUGUUGGUUAGACUCUCUCACAGGAACUCGAGAUUCACAGAUUUUGCAGACUACAUGGCGAAGGAGCUCCAGUGACAUGGCUGUCUUGACUUUCCAAUGUUAACUGGCUCUGAAGAUCAGGCUGUCCUCAAACUCCUUGAUCUGCCUGCUUGUCUCCCAAGUGCCAGGACUGAAGAUGUGUAACACCAUCGCCCCAUGGUUGUAAUGAAGCAUUAAGAAUCUGAUUAAGAAUGGAUUGCUUGGAUAAGAUCUACCUGAAGACCAAGGUGUUCCCAAAAGACACCUACCAUGCCACAGGGGUACGUGUUUCACUGUGUUCAUAGCAGCCUUAUUGGUGAUAGCCAGAAGCUGGAAACAACCCAGAUGUCUCACCAUGGAAGAAUGGAUACAGAAAAUGUGGUUGGUUUACACAAUGGAAUAUGAUUCAGCUAUUAAGAAUGAGGACAUUAUGAGUAUUGCAGCAGGAGCCUAGCAUGGCUGCCCUUCAAGAGGCCCAACAAGCAGCUGACUGAGACAGACACAGAUACACCCAACAAAAAUGUACUGACCACUGUGGUUGAAUGAGGGAGAGGCUGGAAGAAGCUGAGGAAGAGGGUGACCCCAAAGGAAGACCAGCAGUCUCAACUAACCUGACCCCCAAGAUCUCUCAGACACUGACCCACCAACUGGCAGCAUACAAGAAGUGGUUCAAGGACUCUGACACAUAUACAGCAGAGGACUUCCUGGUCUUGCCUAAGUAUAUGUCUUCGAAUACAUGUCUGUUGCCUUCAGUGGCCAGAAGAUGGUGUAAGAUUCCCCUGGAACUGGAAUUACAGACAUUUUGAAAUCACUUCAGUUCAACGUGGAAUUAACACCCCACCCUGCAAACCAUCACAGGAGCCUGAAGGGGACCUGACCAUCUGAGUCUUCAGGAAGACAUCCUUCAUGGAUCUCGAUUUGGAUUUCUGAACAGAAAAAAAAGGAUCAUGCAGAGUACCUUCUAACUCCAUGAACAUUAGAUGUGAAGCUUCUGGCUGAGCGUUGGCUCAAUUUCUCCAUGUUUGAUGACAUAAUGUCACCGUGCUGCUCAAGCUGAUCUUAGAUUCUGAGAAGGUGCUUCUUGCUGGUCUUCCGAGGAGACUUCAUUAAAGGGAUGCCACGUGUAGCUGGUAUUUCUGAUAUGGAGUUUCUUAGUGAGGUUACAAACUCAAGCACUAAUGUCAUGCUUCCUGUCAGCAUCCUGAGAAGAUCACACUGGAGACUGCUACACUGAGCUAUGAUAUAAACUACAAAUAUAUUCCUGAUGAGGAGUAGGACAUUUUUCACAUCCUUAGUCAAUGCUGCAAUUAAAUGGAGGGACAAAAUGGAGCAGAGACAGAAGAGAAGACCAUCUGGAGACUACCCCACCUAGGUGAUCCAUGACAAGAGGAGAACAUUGAGGACUACUUGAUCAGCUGAAAUCAGGCACUCAAAAAUACACAAUACCUUUUUUUUUCUUAAAAUCUUAGCUCAUGGAGGGAAUCUCACUUAACUAGUAUGGCACAGUUAAGAUGACAGAGCAUACCUAGAAAGUAUAUUCACAUGCUGGGAUACCAAAGCCUUACUGUCCACUGCAUUCUUAGAUACUUCCCUUUCAAUGUGAGUCUAGCAGAGGCACACAAUCUAUAGGUGUUCAUACUGUAAUUAAGAAUUAUACAGAGAGUAUUUAUGCAUAAGCAGUGUGGAUAGAGGGGCUCAAUUAUGCAACUCAUGUGUAUCUUUGACUUUUUUUUAAAAGGAGCUGUUCACUAGAGAGUAGCUGUAAGGAAUAGAAAAUUUGAUGAAUCACAUUGAGGAAGGCCGAGGAAGCAGAGAUGACAUCAUUUGGGAGUAUGGUGUAAUCAUUUUCAAUGUAGGCUUUAAAGCUGGACCUGCUGGACGGGUCAAGUGGCACCAGACAUGGGGCAUGAGGUAUGACCACCCUCCAGACAACGGAUUCGAGAGGUACCACGCAGACAGUGAGACAGUUCCCCGCCACUUUGCUUGAGUGUCGCGGACCUCGAGAGCUCGAGCCCGUCAGGCUGCUCCAGGUCAUGAGGACCCCGCCCCCCACUGGCUCCUCCAAUAAAGAUCAGGGGGAACCAGAAAGUGAUAAUGAGGAGGAUCAAGCAAACUUUGAUUCCGAUGAGGGUGGAAUGUCCCCCGAUGAAGGGUUGGAUACCAACAGCCAACCAGUCUACAAAAAGUGCAUCUGUUUUUGUUCAUUACCAUCGGCUGUACGUUGGCGAUAACAAGCAGGUUACUGGAGAAGAGUCAGAGGAGGAUACCACUUCAUCACCCUCGUCUCAGGGAGACUCAAUUUCCAUAAAAUGCUUAACAUCCUGAGGAUUUCACACUGGAAGAGGCCACUAAUUUAUGGCAACCAGAGCCAACCACAUUAAUGUGAGUCCAAGCACAAAGUGGUUUUGACAGUCUCCUACAUGAGGUUCUACUCUCAGCUGCUUCAAGCCUCUAGCAAAGGACUUGACUACAAAUUUUUCUAAGGAUGUGGAUGCAGACUACAAGAUCAUCCACUGAGGAAGAGCUUUCAUUGUUAUGGAUGUGAGACAUGAGAUACUAUUCUUCCAUACAAAGGAGGAGGAUUUUCUGGUUUAGCCUAGAGAGUUGGAUCUGAACAGGCACUGGAGACAAGAGCAGCAGAGAACUGACAUUUGUGAUGGAUACCUUACCAGUUUCUCCCUCAGAAUGCCACAGCAGCAACCAAAGCAUCACCAAGAAGCUGUAAAGGUAAUAUGACUACACAUGUGGUUAUUGAGAAAUGUGUCUAAUGGCGCAGUCCAGCCAGGAGAGAUACUUCUGAUCUAAGGUAAGAAAAAUAGC